CAUAACUAGUAGCACAAUAAGAGAGAGAGAGAGAGAGAGAGAGAGAGAGAGAGGGGGAGAGGGGGAGGAAGGCAACGAUUAUCUGAUUAACAUCGGCUAUGGAACUUUCUAUCAUUGCUUCACUUAGUUUGAUUCAGCUAGUUUUUCUCUUGUAUUUAAGUUCCAUUUUCCAGUUUAUAUAAUAAGAAAAUUGUCCCAAAAAAGUGUUUGAUUCGAUUUCAAUUUCUCAAUUAAACUUAGAUCUAUAAUUGGAUCUUGACAACCAUAUAUUUUAGUGCUUCUCUUAUUUCGUUCUCCGCCAGAACUUUCCAUCGGUUAUCUCUCGAUCCCUCUUCUAUAGCUCUUCAUCUUUGUAAUUUCUGAAUUUGCUCUUUGUUUAUAUGUUAUAUAUAUAUGCUCUUCAUCUUCUAACCAGAGAACAAAAAUGAUUUGUGAAUUUCUCAACUUUGUUUUGUGCAUUCUACGGGUAUCUUAUGUUAUGAACCAGUAGCAGACUUUUUCCACGAUUCCUCUUCUAAAUCAGUUUUAGGGUUCAUGUAUGAAAGGAAUCGCUUACUCUGUAUUUGAUUUUGAAAUUUAUGUUUCUGUGUAGUGAUAUUUCUGUUCUAAGUGUUUGAAAUAGUCUAUUUCACUUUCUAAUAAUUAUAAUCCUUUGGUAAACUAACAGUCGAUUUCACUUUUUGUGUGUUUGAUAACCACAGAACUAAAAUUCCUUUGUUAGUUCUACUUUCUAUAUGUUAGUUCAUGCAUGUUUGGGAUUGUAGCGAUCCUCUCCGGUUCCUGUUCUAAUGCUUUUAUUUCUUUCUUUCUUUUAGUGUUCAGUCUAUUUUUGUUAUUUUUCAAUUCAAAUUCGUUUGAUAUUUGCUUUAAUUUUGCUUUGUCUCGUAUUUGGAUCUCAUGCAAAUUAAUUUUGACAUUUUUAGUUGUUGUCCCUACUAAUAUUAACCUAAAUAUCAUAUAGGUAGCCAAGGGAUCAAAACUGCCGGUGAAGCUAUUAGGAUCGACGUCGACAGUAAAUCAUUUGAUAGAUAUCAAAUCUUAUCAACUUUCAGUAGAUCUAGUUAUAGCAGUAUAGUUGUAGUUUUAGAAUCUGAAUUGAUAUUAAAUUUCAGAAUCACAAUUGGUGAUCUGGUAAUAUCGAUACUUCCACAAUUUGGGUUAAUCGAUUUGUCAUUCAAGGUAAGCAUUUUAACUCCCAGUUUUAGUAUCAUCGAUCCAUGUCUUCUUCUCAGCUAUGGCAAAUUGUUUGCUUAGGUAAUUUGGAAAAAUUGUUACUGUACUUUACUUAUUUGCCCUUGGUUUGACUGGUGGGGAUUAGUCAGAUUGAAGACAAUUUGGAUAGUUUAUUACAAGAAUUUUGUUUGGGUCCUAAUCUGAUCCUCUCGUAUUGACCUAGUUGACUUUUUAGUAUCUUCAUUUUCGGUGAGCAUUAAGUUUUUUGUAGUGUGGCAGUUUGUACCUUAACUUCGGGGUUUAGUCUUCUAUAUGGUGACAUCACUGCUCUUUGGUAAACCUAAGUGAACUAAUUUCAUGGUUAUGAAGUAAUUAACUUUUGUUGCUUGUUAAAAUCCCUGAAUAUCAAGGUUAUCUUCUUCAUAACUAUCUUUCCCUUUCAGCAUAACAUAAACCUCAGACUAGAAGGUUCAAGAGGUGUUCAUUAUUCUGUGUGACGUCUAUUUUCCAAAAUACACCAUUGAAAAUAUGAACUAAAUUUCUCAUUUUGAUACUGUGAUGUUAUUUUAACUUCAAGUUGAAUCAUUAUGCCAAUCGAUAAAUCUUGGAUCUGGCUCAUUUUCAAGGAGCGGUCUUUAAAUUGUCUUGAUUAUAUUUUAAUUGUUUUAAAUUGGCUGGAUGUGAUUUCAUUUCAUAUUAAGAUAGGUGCGUAAGUUUACAACCUUUUUAAUAUGUAUGUAGAGAUGCCGAAGCAAAAUCAGUAUAAAAAUAUGUUCAAAUCAGUCAGGAUCUCUUCACUUGCUCCAGGGUAGUCAUCACAUGCUCAAGCUUCAUCUUCAUCAUCUUAUCGAGCCUCUUUACAUCCUACUCAGUCUACACAGCUCGCCGUUCCAUCUCCAUCAUCUGAUGGAGUCUCUACAUUUCCAUCUUCAUCAUCUGAUGGAGUCUCUAAAUAGUCUAUUGUUCCAUCUUCAUCUGAUGGAGUCUCUUAAUAGCCAACCAAACGUAAAGAUGAUGAAGACAAUCAUGAUUGGCUUGUUGAUGUUAUAGCCUCGAUUUCUUUGCAGAAUUGCUUGACAAAUAGCAAAAAGAUGGGUUAGCGGUAAUCUUAACAAAAAGUGAAGGGACCACAGGCAUAAACUAUGGCGUGCGGCUCAAGAGACGUUAUUAAGUAAAGAAGAGAUCAUCAAAAAAACCCCGGAUGGCAUACCCAUGAAUCAAUGGGCAUUGUUUGUUAAUUAUCGCACGAAAGAUGAAACAAAGGAGCUUUGCAUGGAUUAGACAAAGCCAAAUUUCUCAUACUGAAGAAGGCUAAGGGAAAAGAUAUUGAUCGAGGCCAAAUGUGGACUGACACUCAUAAGAGGAAAGAAGGGGUUAUGUAACUAAUGUGGCUAGGGAGAUUGGGGUAAGAAUUCUUCGUAUAUGUAACUAAUGCGGUAAAGGAAUUCUUUUGUUUCAUCCAAGACUUUAUUGGAUAUCAGUUUACUUUUCCCAAAAGCCAUGUCUUUGUAUGGUGGUCGUUAGCUUGUUUCAUUGCUUAAAUCAGCUCCAAAAAUGGAAAUUCCCACUGUAUUUCAGCUCUGAUUGUGGCUGGUACUGAUGUAAAUACAAGGGACUUAGAUGGGGGGACCCCGUUAUGUCAUUGGUUGUGAAAUUUGGAAAUUCUGAUACCGUUCAAGUUUAGUUGAGUCUGGUUAUACCAUUCCUUGUGAGGCUACAAAAGUUGAUUUUGAACUUGAAUUAGAAUAAGAUUGAAAGAGAUAUUGGGUUGACCCAUUUUUGAAUCGCCAAAUUUGCCAAGUUUUUUUUUUGCUCUGUGCUACAAGCUGAUUUUUGCCAACUUAACAUGUCAUUCAUGCUUGUUUUUCUUUCGUAUAAGAGAAAAUUGAAGAAAUCCGAAGUCAAAGACCAGAAAGUCUUGCUGAAGUUUCACCAAAUGAUGCCCUUGGUACAAUACUCGGUCCUGAACACCCUGACCGUGUUCGAGGGUUAAGCUUGGGUGUAGUUCAAACUAUGGCAUUCAAACAUAUAUCUAGGAGAUUUGGUCAUUUUAAUGUGGGUUUAUCUAGCACUAGCGCUCCAACUCUAGAGUGGCAGCAAGAGGGGACGAGUAUGAAUUCACAAUUAAAUGCGCUACUUAGCUUAUAUCAAAGUAACGUAGGGAAUAUCCCUGAAGAGUUUGCUUA